CAACCCAAGAGGGUUGUUAGAAUCACGAAUGAGAAAUGCUAGGUUCCUGAAACACUAUUCACACGACUAAUAGUUGGGAAAAUCUGAUUUUUGACUAUUAAUUGACACUAUAACUGCAUUUUUUUAAGGAAAUGUGUAAGUUAGGGUGUUUAUUGUAGAUCCUGUGAAAGAAAUUAGAAUGAUUGUGAUAUGGUGGCAGCCAACCUAGCUACUUGCUUAAAAUUUCUGCUUUGAUAUGAGGUAUUUGACAUGAUAAGUUAAGUUUCUGGUGGUAAAUGAGUCAACUAGUGUUUAUAAUAUAGAUUUUGAUUGAGAGACCUUGAUUUUCUUAGGCUGGCAGCAGCCAUUUUAGUGUAAUUCUUGAACUAAAUCUGUGAUAUGAAGUAAAUGAAGUUGUAAAUUGAGUUCUUGAUUGGAAAUGGGUUAAUCAUCGUAUAAUGUGUAAGUUUAACCAAACACUUAAGGUUUCUUUGAUAAAAUGGCAGCAGCUAUCUUCAAUUAUUUCCAUUGAUUUUUGUUUGACAUGGUACAAUUAAGGUUGUAAAUCUAAUUCUUGCAUGGAACUAGUUAGUUGGUGUGAUCCAUGAUUUUAAGAUAGAAAAACGCUAAUUCUUUUGGCGAAUUGACAGCAAUUACCUUGAUUUUUCUAUGUUGUUUUACAAGGAUAAAUAUAUGUAAAUGAACGUACUUUUAAGAUUCCAUGAUGAUUGAUGUAUAAAUAUUUAUUUAUGAUUUGAGAGACGAAUAAAAUGGGUUCGUUACCUGAAAUUUUGCUUGGCGAGAAUGAUGAUUCUUUUUUUUUAAAAUGAACUGAAAGAUAAAAGAUUAUUGCUUUGGUUGAAUCUUUUACUCUUAUCAGCGAGCUAAGCAAGGUUCAUUUUGAAAUUGUUAAUGAAUCGGCACAAUGGAAACUUUUGGAACCAUUGAAAUUCGAAACUAGAAUCAAAUCCUAAUUGAAAUGAAGAAUUUGAUGUUGAUUCCAAACCAAUUUAUAUAAAAAUAAUAAUUUUGAAAAUUGAUCGAGAAAAUUGGUUGGACUAUUAGAACCGAA
rnacentral:lncRNA from 1 species